GUGCUCGCUUCGGCAGCACAUAUACUAAAAUUGGAACGAUACAGAGAAGAUUAGCAUGGCCCCUAAAAAUAAAUAAAUAAAUAAAUAAAUAUUUU
ensembl:snRNA U6 U6 spliceosomal RNA